CUACGGGUUGCACCAGUGGGGAAUUUUGGACAAUGGGCGAAAGCCUGAUCCAGCCAUGCCGCGUGCGGGAAGAAGGCCUUCGGGUUGUAAACCGCUUUUGUCAGGGAAGAAAUCUUCUGGGUUAAUACCUCGGGAGGAUGACGGUACCUGAAGAAUAAGCACCGGCUAACUACGUGCCAGCAGCCGCGGUAAUACGUAGGGUGCAAGCGUUAAUCGGAAUUACUGGGCGUAAAGCGUGCGCAGGCGGUUUUGUAAGACAGAGGUGAAAUCCCCGGGCUCAACCUGGGAACUGCCUUUGUGACUGCAAGGCUUGAGUGCGGCAGAGGGGGAUGGAAUUCCGCGUGUAGCAGUGAUAUGCGUAGAUAUGCGGAGGAACACCGAUGGCGAAGGCAAUCCCCUGGGCCUGCACUGACGCUCAUGCACGAAAGCGUGGGGAGCAAACAGGAUUAGAUACCCUCGUAGUC
rnacentral:rRNA from 1 species